rnacentral:rRNA from 1 species
UAGCAUAUCAAUAAGCGGAGGCACAAGAAACCAACCGGGAUUGCCCUAGUAACGGCGAGUGAAGCGGCAACAGCUCAAAUUUGAAAUCUGGCUCUUUUAGAGUCCGAGUUGUAAUUUGCAGAGGGCGCUUUGGCUUUGGCAGCGGUCCAAGUUCCUUGGAACAGGACGUCACAGAGGGUGAGAAUCCCGUACGUGGUCGCUGGCUAUUGCCGUGUAAAGCCCCUUCGACGAGUCGAGUUGUUUGGGAAUGCAGCUCUAAAUGGGAGGUACAUUUCUUCUAAAGCUAAAUAUUGGCCAGAGACCGAUAGCGCACAAGUAGAGUGAUCGAAAGAUGAAAAGCACUUUGGAAAGAGAGUCAAACAGCACGUGAAAUUGUUGAAAGGGAAGCGCUUGCAGCCAGACUUGCUUGCAGUUGCUCAUCCGGGCUUUUGCCCGGUGCACUCUUCUGCAGGCAGGCCAGCAUCAGUUUGGGCGGUAAGAUAAAGGUCUCUGUCACGUACCUCUCUUCGGGGAGGCCUUAUAGGGGAGACGACAUAUUACCAGCCUGGACUGAGGUCCGCGCAUCUGCUAGGAUGCUGGCGUAAUGGCUGUAAGCGGCCCGUCUUGAAACACGGACCAAGGAGUCUAACAUCUAUGCGAGUGUUUGGGUGUCAAGCCCGAGCGCGUAAUGAAAGUGAACGGAGGUAGGAACCCGCAAGGGUGCACUAUCGACCGAUCCUGAUGUCUUCGGAAGGAUUUGAGUAAGAGCAUGGCUGUUGGGACCCGAAAGAUGGUGAACUAUGCUUGAAUAGGGUGAAGCCAGAGGAAACUCUGGUGGAGGCUCGCAGCGGUUCUGACGUGCAAAUCGAUCGUCAAAUUUGGGCAUAGGGGCGAAAGACUAAUC